UCCCAUUGAGUGUAGUGGUUAGCAUGUCUGGUUUUCAUCCUCCUUUUACAUGAAAGCACCCAAGAGACACGAGUUCAAACCUCGCAGUUGGAA